rnacentral:rRNA from 1 species
AUUGAACGCUGGCGGCAUGCCUUACACAUGCAGGUCGAACGGUAACAGGUCUUCGGAUGCUGACGAGUGGCGCACGGGUGAGUAAUACAUCGGAACGUGCCCGAUCGUGGGGGAUAACGAGGCGAAAGCUUUGCUAAUACCGCAUACGAUCUACGGAUGAAAGCGGGGGAUCUUCGGACCUCGCGCGGACGGAGCGGCCGAUGGCAGAUUAGGUAGUUGGUGGGAUAAAAGCUUACCAAGCCGACGAUCUGUAGCUGGUCUGAGAGGAUGAUCAGCCACACUGGGACUGAGACACGGCCCAGACUCCUACGGGAGGCAGCAGUGGGGAAUUUUGGACAAUGGGCGAAAGCCUGAUCCAGCCAUGCCGCGUGCAGGAUGAAGGCCUUCGGGUUGUAAACUGCUUUUGUACGGAACGAAAAGCCUCUUUCUAAUAAAGAGGGGUCAUGACGGUACCGUAAGAAUAAGCACCGGCUAACUACGUG